rnacentral:rRNA from 1 species
GACGAACGCUGGCGGCGUGCUUAACACAUGCAAGUCGAACGGAAAGGCCCUGCUUUUGUGGGGUGCUCGAGUGGCGAACGGGUGAGUAACACGUGAGUAACCUGCCCUUGACUUUGGGAUAACUUCAGGAAACUGGGGCUAAUACCGGAUAGGAGCUCCUGCUGCAUGGUGGGGGUUGGAAAGUUUCGGCGGUUGGGGAUGGACUCGCGGCUUAUCAGCUUGUUGGUAGGGUAGUGGCUUACCAAGGCUUUGACGGGUAGCCGGCCUGAGAGGGUGACCGGCCACAUUGGGACUGAGAUACGGCCCAGACUCCUACGUGAGGCAGCAGUGGGGAAUAUUGCACAAUGGGCGGAAGCCUGAUGCAGCAACGCCGCGUGCGGGAUGACGGCCUUCGGGUUGUAAACCGCUUUCGCCUGUGACGAAGCGUGAGUGACGGUAAUGGGUAAAGAAGCACCGGCUAACUACGUG